rnacentral:snRNA from 1 species
GGAUGUGAGGGUGAUCUGGCUGUGACAUAUGUCACCCCAUUGAUGACCUCGGGUUGAUUUAGCUGAUCUGGAUGGCCAGGAGAUGUCACCUCCCUCCAUCCCUCUGGAAGUGACAUGCUCUUUUGAAGAGGACAACCUUCCCUGAUGGAGGAGGGGUAUUCUCUGGUCAAGGAUAUGGGAGUAGGUGUUGUCUCCUGCUACUCUCUCCAAACAAGCUCUCAAAGUCCAUUUGUAGGAAAAUGGGGUUGGGGGCGGGUAGUCAAGAUUGCAAGACUCCAGACACAUUCAAAUGAGAUGCUUUCUUU